rnacentral:tRNA from 1 species
AAGACUUUAAGUUAUAUUUAAACUAUUAACCUUCAAAGUUUCUUAUAUAAAAUUCUUAUAGGUCUUA